GUUCAACGGCCGCGGUAUUUUGACCGUGCAAAGGUAGCGCAAUCACUUGUCUUUUAAAUGAAGACCCGUAUGAAUGGCAUAACGAGGGCUUAACUGUCUCCUUUUUCAAGUCAAUGAAAUUGAUCUCCCCGUGCAGAAGCGAGGAUAACAACAUAAGACGAGAAGACCCUAUGGAGCUUUAGACACCAGAGUAGCCCUUGUCAAACACCCCCAGUAAAAGGGCAAAACCAAAAGGACCCUACUCCCCUGUCUUUGGUUGGGGCGACCGCGGGGAAUACAAAACCCCCAUGUGGAAUGGGAGAACCCCUCCUGAAACCAAGAGCCACGGUUCUAAGCAAUAGAACAUCUAACCAAAAGAUCCGGCAUGACCGAUCAACGAACCGAGUUACCCUAGGGAUAACAGCGCAAUCCCCUUCUAGAGUCCAUAUCGACAAGGGGGUUUACGACCUCGAUGUUGGAUCAGGACAUCCUAAUGGUGCAGCCGCUAUUAAGGGUUCGUUUGUUCAACGAUUAAAGUCCUACGUGAUCUGA
rnacentral:rRNA from 1 species